UAACGGUGUCAAACAGCGGGACUCUUGUUCGUGAGUAGCAGAAGAUGGAGACUCUGAAAGCAGCUAUUCCAGAAAGCCUGAAGCGAGCGAUAGGGGAUAGCAAUGCCGAUGAUCUUCAAAGCACGUGCUCUUCUCUUCAUCGCUUCUUUCUCCACUUCGACCCAUUUCACCAGAUUAUCGCUCAACUGGCUAAUCCAAAGUAUGGUCUGUGCGGUAAGAAUAAGGAAGAUGCCUUGAAAUCCAAGCAGCUUGGUAAUGAAUGCUUCUCCAACGCAGAUUAUGCCAAGGCCUUGGAAUGCUAUACUCAGGCAUUGCGCAAGGCUCCAUUAGAUACCGGUGAUAUGAAAAGUAAUCUUGUUGCAACAUUAUAUAUCAAUCGGGCUACUGUAUUGCAUAAAAUGAGUCUUUUAGUAGAAUGCUUGCGGGAUUGCACUCGAGCUCUUCAAAUUUUUCCAAGCUACUCAAAGGCAUGGUACAGGAGAGGUAAGGCAAAUGCUUCAUUGGGAAAUUAUAGAAAUGCAAUUUGCGACCUAAAUGUGGCCAAGAUUGUGGAACCUUCAAUGGGUGGGAAGAGACAAAUAGAAGGUGAACUGAAAAUUCUUUUAGACCAAUGCAAAAGCACAAGUGCGAUAGUACAGAUACAACGUAAGGAGAACAACUGCAAUACUGUGGGUGAGAUGCCUCAAAUAAAGCUACAGUGUAUCUCCAUCCCUGAUAAAGGAAGAGGCAUGGUCUCAUCAUGUGUCAUUUCACCAGGUUCUUUAGUUCAUUCCGAAGAACCUUAUGCUAUGAUAAUUUUAAAGCAAUGUCGGGAAACCCAUUGCCAUUAUUGCUUGAAUGAUCUACCUGCUGAUAGAGUUCCUUGUUUAUCAUGUUCAAUACCAUUGUAUUGUUCCUACCAAUGCCAGAUCCGAGCAGGUGGGCAAAUGUUCAGGAUUUACCCAGAAGAAAAUGUCACUUUUAAAAAAAUGCCCAGUGAUCUUGGGGAAUAUGCUUCUGAAGUUAUCCAAAGCAAUGAUUCUGAACAAGAAAUUGAGGAUAUUACUGAACAUAAACAUGAAUGCCGAGGUGUACAUUGGCCUGUGGUACUGCCAUCUGAGAUAGUUUUGGCUGGCCGAAUACUAGCAAGGUUUUUGCUGAAUAGCACAUCUGAUAAUAUUAUAAACUUUGUGGAAAGGCUGGAGCUUUCUCAUCGUUACAAACAUAUGUCAUCCGAAAGCAAAUUGGAUUCACAUAUAUAUGCCAUUGUAUUGUUAUAUUGUCUUCAACACUCUUGUGGAACUAUGUUUUCCAUAGACGGAGUCUCCAUAUCACAGGUUGUCAUAAUUAUCUCUCAAAUUAAAGUGAAUUGCAUGACUAUUGUUCGUUUAAAAUCAAUAGAUGCUCCUGGACUAUCAGGCCAUUUUGGAGAAUUUCCAUUUAAAUCUGAUGCACAUUCAACUAGUAAUGUGGAACAGGUCAGAGUGGGUAAAGCUAUCUACAAAGCUGCCAGUUUAUUUAACCAUUCUUGCCGACCGAAUGCUCAUGCAUAUUUUCUUUCACGCACUCUUUACCUACGAACCACACAUGGUGUAACAGCUGGUUGUCAGCUUGAACUGUCUUAUGGUCCACAGGUUGGGUUGUGGGAUUGCAAAGAUCGCCUCAACUUUCUCAAAGACGAAUAUGCGUUUCACUGUCAGUGUAUUGGUUGUUCAGUAGUCAAUGUAUCUGACAUAGUCCUCAAUGCCUUCCAUUGUGUCAAUCAAAAUUGUUCUGGCGCAGUGUUAGAGAGCAGAGUAAUUGACUGUGAGCAGCAGAAAAUCAAGCACUUCACUAUUACUGACCGUGUUGAAAAGAAUGAUGACAUUUGUGAAGUAUGUCUUAAUGUCUUCAAACAAAACGGGGCCCAUAUUCAUGGUCAACCUGGAUACUGUUUGAAAUGUGGUUCUUACUGUGAUUUGGAGUCUUCACAUGCUGCAGUCAAUGAAGCUGUAAUAUGCAUAAAAAGGUUGCAGGAUGCAAUAUCUUCAAAAGAAAUUUCGAGUAUUACUAUUUCUGAUGCUUUGAUAUCUCUUCAAUCACUAAGAUUAAAUUUGCAUGCUUACAACAAGCUUAUUGCAGAGGCAGAAGACAGCAUUGCUCAGGCUUUUUGUUUAGUAGGAGAACUACAACUAUCUGUUGAUCAUUGCAAAGCUUCUAUCCAGAUUCUGGAAAAGCUAUACGAUACUGAUGAUAUUGUUAUUGCUUACGAACUUGUGAAGCUUUCUUCCAUCCAACUUUCCUUGGAUGAUUCUACAGCUAUGGAAAGCAUAAAUCGAAUAGAUGAUAUCUUCUCACGUUAUUAUGGAACUCAUGCAGACUUGGUGUUCCCAUAUCUUCAAUAUCUUAGGAGUGAAAUCAAGAAAUUUUCAGUGAAGGCUAUCCAAUAAAAUGCUUUUGCGACAAAACGACGUACAGAAUGAGGUAUAAUUGUCAAUCACAGCUUAAAUGGCUGGUCAUAUAAUAUGGAAGAUAUACAGUAGUCAAGACCUCAAGAAAGAUUACUCAGCUCAUCCAAGCUGUUUGAUAGUCUAGGCAUACUGUGCAUAAGUAAGAACGAAACUUUGAAGGUAUGAAAAGCUGCAUGAAUGGUUACUUGACAGAUUGUGCAGCUUAGCAAUGCACUUCUUUUACUCCAUAUUCUAACCGGUUUUGGUAUGUUUGGCUAUGGGUUGUCUUCUCACUCUGAUACCUAUUGACAACUUGGAUUACCAACUGGGUAUUUUUUGAAAGGAGCGGACAUGGAAAAAAUUCAGUGGUAUAAAACUGGACUCGAAGAAACAGAUGGUUGUUGCCUGUGCUUUAUCUGAGGUGAAAUCGAUGCAGAAUGAUUGUUGGCUUUUAGGUAUGUUCUCGACAUUUGGGACGUUGCUGGGAUGCCUCAGGUAGGUCUAAGGUUUCUGCAGAUUAAUAGUGUUUGGUUAGAGGAAAAUGGGGAAAGAAAGGGGAGAGCGUUAAAAAUUAAAAUAUCUCCUUUCUGUUAUUAUUAUUACUGUGUUAACUUUUUUCAAAGGAUUAAUUGAAUCUUAUUUUAAUGUAUUUUUAAAAUAUUACA